UGAUCGUGUCCCAUCGUACGGAGCUGCAUGGGGCAUCUUUAAAUGGCUCUGAUGGCAGACGUUCUUCUAAUCGAUGCACAGUUUGACCGUGGAGGGGAUGGUGAUGUGACAUGGGCUUAACUAGCACGAAGUUAGUAGAUGGAGUGGCAUAGCUAAAUAAUAUGGCCUGACAGAUUUGUACAAAGAGAAAUGAUUAAAGUGUUUUCUAGCUUGGACCUCAGGUGGGAAUGGCUAUCUAAUACUCGACUCUCUUCUGAAGUAAACAGUUGAAGGUCGGCCA
rnacentral:lncRNA from 1 species